GCGAUCAUACCAGCACUAAUGCACCGGAUCCCAUCAGAACUCCGAAGUUAGGCGUGCUUGGGCGAGAGUAGUACUAGGAUGGGUGACCCCCUGGGAAGUCCUCGUGUUGCACCCC
rnacentral:rRNA from 1 species